rnacentral:tRNA from 1 species
AGGGUUAUGGCUCAGUGGCAGAGUACAUGCUUAGGAAGCACAAGGUCCUGGGUUCAACCCCCAGUACCUCCA